GUCUCGCCGGAGCCACCACCCGCUGCAUCAGGGACCCAACGCCAUGGUCGUCGCCCCGUUGCUCCGAGACCAGCCGCCCUUCCCUGCCUGAGCCAUCGCGCCGGCCGGCCAGGCCGUGCCCCGCCGUUUCCUUUCUCUCCGCCAGAUCCGUCGCCCGGAGACCCAUGCCCCAUCGUUCCUGCGCGCCGUCAGGAGGACAACAUGGAUGCCCGAGCUCGUCGUCCCCGACCUCUUUUCUGCCAAGAUCUGCCCCGCCGUCGUGGUUCCCCGGCGCCCGGACCUCCCCUGCUUCGCCAAGGCCACCAAGACCUCCUCAACUGUGCAAUGCCGCCGGCCACCUCUCCGAGCAGAGCCGCCGGACCAGCAGCUUGCCGCUGCCGCCUGGAACCAGCCCGACCCGACGAACCUCGCCGGGAUCCCGUGCCGUUCAUGUCCCUGGCCGUUUUCCUGCUCCGCUUCGGUCAAGGAGGACGACCCCAGCGCCAAGUCCCCUGCUCCAGAUCGAGCCGCAGCGCUCGCGUUGACUGUGUCGCCAGCCACCAUCUCGCCAAGCCCACCGGUCCCGCAGGGCCCAGCCGCUGCCGCUUCUCGGCUGGCCCAGCCCUGCUUCGGCCUGCCCGUGCCUCGUCCGUCACCGUUG